rnacentral:lncRNA from 1 species
AACAAAGUAAUAUGCAUAACUUGGCUUCACCAAAACAAUCUAGUCAAGCAUAAACUACAAAAGAGUGCGAAGGUUCAUAUAAUCACUUGAUUAGUCAUAUGAAUUAAUAUAAAUUUUACAAGAUUGGUAGUUAUCACCCUUGAGAUGUUGUGACACAAUCACAGCACCUGUAUUCUCAUUAAGGAUGUACAAAAUACGGAUUCAAAGCCGGAUCAGCAAGAAUUUCACCAUUGUUGUGUGCCAUGAUGAAUCU